rnacentral:rRNA from 1 species
CACGUAGGGGGCAAGCGUUGUCCGGAUUUAUUGGGCGUAAAGAGCUCGUAGGCGGCUCAGUAAGUCAGGUGUGAAACCUCCAGGCUCAACCUGGAGACGCCACCUGAUACUGCUGUGGCUAGAGUCCGGUAGGGGAGCGUGGAAUUCCUGGUGUAGCGGUGAAAUGCGCAGAUAUCAGGAGGAACACCGAUGGCGAAGGCAGGUCUCUGGGCAUUAACUGACGCUGAGGAGCGAAAGCAUGGGGAGCGAACAGG